UACAGAGGGUGCGAGCGUUGUCCGGAAUCACUGGGCGUAAAGGGCGCGUAGGUGGCGCGACAAGUCAGUGGUGAAAGCUCGACGCUCAACGUCGAGUCGGCCACUGAUACUGUUGGGCUUGAGCACUGUAGAGGCUAAUGGAAUUCCGGGUGUAGCGGUGGAAUGCGUAGAGAUCCGGAAGAACACCGGUGGCGAAGGCGGUUAGCUGGGCAGUGCUGGACACUGAGGCGCGACAGCGUGGGGAGCAACAGG
rnacentral:rRNA from 1 species